CUGUAUCUGAAAUAUGUGAUGAAGGUCAUUAAAAUCACGGUACUCUUUUGGAGGCUGUGAAACUCCUUGCAGAAUAUAGUCCAUUCUCGAACAAGUAUUUCAUUAUCAUUAACAAAGCAAAGUAUCGUGAUCCAUCACAAUGAGCAAAAGGCAGCAUUUGUCACUUUCCAUAGUGAAUCAUUUAUUGCAUAGCUAUUAAGAUUCAGUGGAGGUGUUAUUAGAAAGCAGUAAAGGACAUACAAAUCCAUACUACUUGAUAUGUCUGCU